rnacentral:rRNA from 1 species
GACGAACGCUGGCGGCGCGCUUAACACAUGCAAGUCGAACGGAAAGGCCUGCUUUCCCUUGUGGAUUGCGGGUACUCGAGUGGCGAACGGGUGAGUAACACGUGAGUGAUCUGCCCCCAACUUGGGUAUAAGCCUGGGAAACUGGGUCUAAUUCCCGAUAGGACUGCAGGGUGGUGCCUGUGGUGGAAAACGAUUUUCUAGUGGUUGGGGAUGAGCUCGCGGCCUAUCAGCUUGUUGGUGGGGUAAUGGCCUACCAAGGCGGCGACGGGUAGCCGGCCUGAGAGGGUGGACGGCCACAUUGGGACUGAGAUACGGCCCAGACUCCUACGGGAGGCAGCAGUGGGGAAUAUUACACAAUGGGCGGAAGCCUGAUGCAGCGACGCCGCGUGGGGGAUGACGGCCUUCGGGCUGUAAACUCCUUUCGACCGCGAGGAAGCCACCUGGUUGGAAGGGUGGUGACGGUAGUGGUAGAAGAAGCACCGGCUAACUACGUG